UGAGCCCAUUUGAGUCUUUGAGCCCCCCCCCCUGUGAUUUUUAGUGACUUCGGAGUGUGUCAUUUCAAUAAACUCGAACCUCUGUUCAUCAGUGGAUUACACGAAAGGAAGAUGCAGUUAAUUCCCUUUGGUUUUCUUUACCACGACGAGCGAAACCGAGUGUAAGGUCGAACCACACUUUACGAAGCAAGCCGGAAGGAGUUUCAGUAUCCAAACUUUUCACGAAUUUUUUUUUAAAUCAUUCUCGGGGAUAGCAGCAUGAUGUGUUGUCUGGUCAAGGCCAUCGCGCUUAAGUUUGUUUUUUUAUCAUGGACGGAAAAACAUUGUUUGCAGUGUGAAAUUCCCGGUCUUGGAUAAUGUUUAUGCUGCAUUCAAAUGGCGGUCCCAUGAUGUGCGUGUAUGGCAGCACGCAACCCAACAAAACUCGAUUUUGAUUAAAGAUCUCCCUCAGCAUUUCUGACUUCGGCAUAAAAGAACCCCGGUCUCUCAUUCAGUUGAAAAGCAGGAAGCUCUUCGAACUUGGGUUCAAAACCUCGGAAACCAAACCAUUCUGGAAGUGAAACGAUUGCCUUGUUUAGGGUACAAAUGUGACAGAGGUAUUACGCCCAGUAGAUUUGGAGAGGUUCCCAUCCACGAUGUCCUGUACUGCUUUUGCAUCAAGGGACGCGAAGCGGUCACUGGACGCUUGAACUUUUGGCUCUACGGAAACGCUGUCUGUAUUUCCUAGUUCAGGGGCCAUCUCAGAACGGUUUUCAGCUUCAACAGCUGUUGU